CUGACACUGACGCCCUCAGGCUACAUUAGUCUCAGGUGUGCUGCUACCUGCCCAGGUGUGCUCAUUCUUUCAGUGUGGCAGCAGAAGCAGUUUAUUUCAGCAGCUGUGAGGCAACAAAAAGAGCUUGAAACCGUCUCUGGAGCCACAUACUGCGAGGUAGUCCAUCAUUUAACAGACGUGUCUGGUGUGAUGGUGAGACAGCAGGAGAAGAAGGCAGUGCUGGUUAUUGAGAAUGUAUAAACUGACAGAAGUGAGGACAGAUCUAUUCCUGUGAUCUUGAGUUGAACUUUGAAUGACAUGUGGACGCUUGGUCAGGCAUCAUGUUUUAAUGCGCUGGAUCCACCUUUAGUGUAACCGUUCAGUGCUAAAAGUAGGUCUAGUAUAAACUGCUGGAGAAGUCCAUGUUGGAGGAGGUCCGGUGGUGGCAUGGGUCAACCGGAGUCCAGGAGACUGGUGGUGUCUGGAGAGUGGACGAGAUGAUGUGAUGUUUCUGGGUAGAUCAGAGAUGCACAGAAAGUUUUAAAGGCAAAGUCUUUGCAAGAAAGCCAGGCAGUCAUACUUGGGGAAUAAUUCAGAAACAAGCCGACAAGGUACAGCACAGGUAUUUUAAUGUUUCUGUUGACCUUGGUUUUUAGCUGUGUUGAUGUUUAUUUCUGUACACUGAGUCACAUUUCUUGUAUGUUCACAUACAUGGCCGACAAAUGAUUCUGAUAAUAUGGAUACAGAAGCACCAACUGCAGUCUGUGACUGAAACAAUUAUUCUUUUAAUUCUGAUUUUACCUUGAUGAUCAACUUUAUUGGCCACAUACAAUCUUAUACACACUUUCAUACACAGAGUACAGCGCGUGUGGAUGUAGUUCUGACUCGAACCCAUCCUAACUAGGAACAGUGGGCAGCAAAGAUCCGUACUGGAUCAAGAAGGGGUCUAGUGGUGCUUAUGGCUGCACUCAUUUCAUUUCUCCCACAUUUUCAGUCCAAACUACACAUUUUUCUCUAAAUCUAACUGUAUUCAGUCUGCAGGGCAAAACAUCACCAGCUGACUGACUGAAGAGCUGUAUUUCAGCAACAACUUUCAGCACGGGGCCUUGAGUGGUUGAGGUUCCACUGAUCAUUAAAAGUUCCAGUGGUCUUUAACAAGGUUUCACUGGUCGCUGAUGAGGUUCCUGUGGUCAUUAGUCAGGUUCCAGUGGUGAGUCUAGUGAGGUUCUACGGGGUCAGUGAGGACACAAAAGAGACUUGUUGACCACAGCGCAAAUACCACUGAGGUAAGCUGACGAUCUGGCGAAGAGUGAGGUGAAGUACCGGGUUGCUAUACUGCAGAGUCUUGAUUAGUAAAAUGCAGAUCAGGUGUGGAGGUGGAGGUCAGGGCCAGAGUGAGAAGCCACGCCCAGACAGGCACACAGACAGACAGACGGACUGGGAGGGAGAAGAACAUAGACACAAGGUGAAGGGAGGAGAACAGCAGACUCAUAACAAUUUCACUUUGACAGGAAGCCAGCGACAAACGAUUAACAACUUGAUAAAGGUGUCAUUCUAUAAUUUAAAUAAAUCAGACAUACCCGCUCAGAGGCAGAACAUUUAUUCUCCGGUAGAUAUUAAAGAGCCGUUCCAGUCUGUGCUCACACUGAAAAUGAAUUAACAGCGUUCAGAAAGUUGAGUGAGUGA